GAUGAACGCUGGCGGCGUGCCUAAUACAUGCAAGUCGAGCGAACGGACGAGAAGCUUGCUUCUCUGAUGUUAGCGGCGGACGGGUGAGUAACACGUGGAUAACCUACCUAUAAGACUGGGAUAACUUCGGGAAACCGGAGCUAAUACCGGAUAAUAUUUUGAACCGCAUGGUUCAAAAGUGAAAGACGGUCUUGCUGUCACUUAUAGAUGGAUCCGCGCUGCAUUAGCUAGUUGGUAAGGUAACGGCUUACCAAGGCAACGAUGCAUAGCCGACCUGGGAGGGUGAUCGGCAACACUGGAACUGAGACACGGUCCAGACUCCUACGGGAGGCAGCAGUAGGGAAUCUUGCGAAAUGGGCGAAAGCGUGACGGAGCAACGCCGCGUGAGUGAUGAAGGUCUUCGGAUCGUAAAACUCUGUUAUUAGGGAAGAACAUAUGUGUAAGUAACUGUGCACAUCUUGACGGUACCUAAUCAGAAAGCCACGGCUAACUACGUG
rnacentral:rRNA from 1 species